rnacentral:lncRNA from 1 species
CCAAACAGGAAGCGCUCUCUCUGACCAUUUCAUGGCCUUCUUGAUCAUCUCUAACCAAAACAGGGGAUCUCUGGCAUAACGUGACAUUUUCUAACGCUCCCAUAGGCUCUCAGAAGGCGCCAGAAAGAUGAAUGGUGGCUUUGCAGGCCAUGGCUAAAAAACAUUAGCACAUUUGGAUAAUGGUCGAUCUGAGGACAAUGAGACUGGAGGCGAGCCGACACCAUGUUUACUUUCUCUCUCUUUGAACGAAAACAACGACUCCCGGUCGGGAAUAUUAUCGCUUUUUUACGAGAAAAAUAGCAUAAAAAUUGAUUUUAAACAGCGGUUGACAUGCUUCGAAGUACGGUAAUGGAAUAUUUCGAAUUUUUUUGUCACGAAACGCGUCGGGCGCGUCACCCUUCUUUACCCUUCGGAUAGUGUCUUGAACGCACGAACAAAACGCCGCUAUUUGGAUAUAACUAUGGAUUAUUUGGAACCAAACCAACAUUUGUUAUUGAAGUAGAAGUCCUGGGAGUGCAUUCUGACGAAGAACAGCAAAGCUCCAGCUCUUCUGCCCUUCACCUCCCAUCAUGCAUCUCUUCCUAAGCCCCCGGGCUGCUUCCUGACCGUGAUCACCAACCUCACGACAUCCCUCCCUGAGCCAGACCCUGACACGCAUCAUCACCCUACUGCCACAUGUUUCCACAGAGGAAACCACAGAGGAGCUGUGCUCUAUUACUGUGUCCCCUACACGCCAUUCACCUCUUCCUAAAUCACUGUUCUGUGGAGAGAUAAAUACACCAGAGGAGGCUGGUGGGAGGAGCUAUAGGAGUACAAACUCAUUGUAAUGGAUAGAAUAAACGGAACAGAGUCAAACAUGUGGUUUCCAUAUGUUUGAUGUGUUUUAUACCGUUCCAUUUAUUCCAUUCCAGCCAUUACAAUGCCACUGCAUAGAUACUGCAAGGCGGGUUUGAUUUGAAGAUGGAUAACAUGUCACUAAUCAAACUCAAACUUCAGGCAAGGACACCAGCACUGUCUGCACGGGGGGAAAAUCCAAUUUAGGGGUAAUAAUUAUUCAAACCCAUCCUUCAUAACAGUACCAAAAUAAAUAAUUACUUUCAAAAUAAAUUGCAGCAUUGUUGGCUGUUAAGAGCCUCUGGCUCACAGCAACAAAACUCAAUUAAUAAAAUUGCUCACUAAUCCUGACAGAUUGAAUCCCAAUGGAUAAUACACCUCCCGCCACUCCCCACCAUGCAAAAACUAUGUUAAAACAUAUUAAUUCAUUACUUACAAUGAAUACUUUAUUAUCUUGUUAAUUCAUUAAUUACAGUAUCUAGGCCUCUAUAAAAAGGUUUUCAAAAUUGCAGAGAGUGCUCUUUGUUUGUCGAUGAUGCAGAAAUAUUGCAUCAUUAUCCUUGUGGAGGAUUCUAGAGGCUACGUCUGUCACAGUAGCCUGUGAAUGCAGCGGUGGACUCUGCAACAACUCCAGAGGUUUUUGUGUAGUAGGUGGAGGCCAUGUGGGGUGGGGGAGGAGGUAUGUGAGAGUGGAUGAUGGUGUGUGGACACUGUGAGUGUUGGGUCACUGGCUCUUUCCCUCUGUCACUGAGCAUUCCUCAGUGAUAGAGCCUUGCGUGACCUCUCUGCCAGCCCUGCAGCCAAAGCAGCCUUGCCUUGAUGUGUUCAGACACAAUACCUCCUCCUUCUCCACUACCUGCACCUGUUCUGUCAGAUCCUCUCUCCGUACUGAUUAGUGCACAGACAUUAGAGAAGCAUCCCCCAUCUAAAGCUAAUAUGAUGAUGUCAUGGAGGCUGAGAGUGAGACUGAUGAGAGGACUAGGAUGCUAGGAGUACGGUCAGCAGAGCCAGUGUCUCAUAUAAACAUCACAGACCCUCAAGCUAAAGUACUCAGGAGAAGCUGUCGCUGUCCCCAGCCAGACCAAACAGUGGACAGGUAGAUGGGCAUAGUGCUAGGAAAGGGAUUUGGUCACAGGAACAAUCAUAUUUUUACAUACUCCAGCACACACACCCACACACACAGCCCAAGCUUUCCUUUCCCCAGACUGACUGGAAUCUCCAAGAAUAAUGUCAGAAAGAAAAGCAGGUCAGUCUCACAGCAGUGAGAUGAGACUGAGUGGUCUGGUCAGCAGUGCAGUCAGACAGGAUACCUAUACAACUACGUACUUUAAACUCCCAUUUGUGUUUUGCAGCAGCUCAAACUCAGUCCAGGGUUGCGUCCAAAAUGGUACAUUGUUCCUUAUAUAGUGUACUACUUUUGAGAAGGGUCCAUAGCACUAUAUAGGGAAUAGGGUGCCAUUUCGGACACAGACCUGGCAUUUCUAUCUCUUUUCCGUUGACAGCGUCCAGAGUCUGAAGAAUCCCAUCAAGAUGGAACACAAAGCACCACAGCUUAUCUCAGUUUGUUUUUAGGGGCCAAAUAGAUUUCAGUGAACUGGUGUUGUGAUGGGCAGUAGGGAGGGAAGUAGGAUGUCUUAUCAGCAGUGCUGUGAAUGUAAUUCAGCCAGAGGAACACCCCUUGAUAGAUCAGGAACAUACUGGUUUACCAUCACCUUUAAGGGCAGACAGUGCAGUACAGUGCAAAGGCCUAACCCUCUGGCCAAACAAUAGAUUUUCUUAACAGUGUAUUGUCACACUAAGAUGUGUUUAAAGUAUUGUAUUUCACAGUAUAUGGUACUGUACACACAGUGACAUAUAUAGACAACAUGUAUUCUCACCUCUCCAUUUCAUAUUCUUUCUGUCUGUGUCUCACAUGCUUCAUUAUCUGAAGAGAAACGACAACAACACUUUAUUUUGUCUGUUUGUGAAAAAUUGUAGAGAACUACUUGUUGUUCUCUUUAAAGUAAUUGUUGUGGCUAAAGGCUAAUCGUGCAUAUUUUCUAUUCACUGUUGUAAUUCAUCCAUCCUACACUGUGAGAGGUGAGGGCGGUUGUGGGAGUGUUUCAUUCUGGAUUGGAAAAUGAGGUGCAAUAGCCUGCAAAUGACAUGCUAUUAACUCCAUGUGAUAAGAUAAGUGUUAUCAUCUACUCAAGUCCCAAAAAACUCACUGUCUGACAGAAAGGAAAAUUAUGCUUCAGGGACAAGGGGGAUUAUUCACAAUUGCAGGCGAUUUGAACAGUUAAGAGCCACUUAUUCAAACUCAUGGAUUAAGCGUCUUAGCCAAGAUAAUAGCAAGUUAUAAUAGGAACUGUGGAUCAAGAUAACACUUGGUAUGAUGUGGCUGUCACGACGUCCGCCGAAGUUGGUGCCUCUCCUUGUUCGGGUGGCGUUCGGCGGUCAAAGUCACCAGCUUUCAAGCCACCACCAAUCUACGUUUCUUUUUCUAUGUGUUUUGUCUUGAUUGUACACACCUGGUUUCCAUUAUGUUACAAUUUAUUCCCUAUUUAACCCUCUGGUUCCCACAUGGUUUUGUGCGUGUUUGUUCUUUGUUAUGUGGUCGCUCUUUUGUGUUGAGCUGGAUUAUUAUUCCUUGUUUGGAAUUAGUUUGUGAUUUUGCGAGUAAAGUACGUUUUUACUCAGUUCUGUGUCCUGCGCCUGACUCCGUCCUACCCGCUGCACACUGAUACAUGACAGUGCAAUGUGUACUGCUGUACAACUGGUAUAGAUAGUUCUCAGGCGUUUUACCUUCCAAAUGGGAGAAAUAAAUGUGACUCCAUAUACUCUAUUUGUCAGGGACUAGACAAAAUGCUACAGGCCUACACCGUAGAGACUGUCAAGACUAUGUAUGCCAUUCUAACUCAAGGCCUCAAGACAUCAUGAGGAACGAAGACAAACACAAAUUACCGAUGUGUAUUUGUAGUCUCAGUAGACUAGUAGUAAAUUCAAUAUCAGCU